rnacentral:rRNA from 1 species
GAGUUUGAUCUUGGCUCAGAUUGAACGCUGGCGGCAUGCCUUACACAUGCAAGUCGAACGGCAGCACGGGAGCUUGCUCCUGGUGGCGAGUGGCGAACGGGUGAGUAAUGCAUCGGAACGUAUCCUGGAGUGGGGGAUAACGUAGCGAAAGUUACGCUAAUACCGCAUAUUCUGUGAGCAGGAAAGCGGGGGACCUUCGGGCCUCGCGCUCUUGGAGCGGCCGAUGUCGGAUUAGCUAGUUGGUGAGGUAAAGGCUCACCAAGGCGACGAUCCAUAGCAGGUCUGAGAGGAUGAUCUGCCACACUGGAACUGAGACACGGUCCAGACUCCUACGGGAGGCAGCAGUGGGGAAUUUUGGACAAGUGGGGGCAACCCUGAUCCAGCCAUGCCGCGUGAGUGAAGAAGGCC